UCCAUUGCUCGCCUUCAAAUUCAUGAGCCUUAACACAGCUGACAAACGUGUCAACUUAGUUGAACCGACAUACAAAGGUGUUUCGGCAUCAGUCGACAUCGUCUCAUACACAUGAGCUUUGGCAAAAUUUUCUGCGCCAACAUCGCGGAUCAUGUCCUUUAAUUUGUCUUCAUCCGGUCGAUCUUCUUCCAUUGUGGAAUCGGUAACAUUUUCAGUUUGCGAGUCAGUCGGAAAGUGCAUUUCUUCGCCGUGCCAUAUCCAUGUUGUAUAGCAUCUUAGGAAACCAUCACAGAUAAGAUGUUCUCUAAUUUGAGUUGUGUUCAACUUUCUCCCAUUCAAACAGUUCACACAAGGACAUCCUAAACUUCACUUCAUCGUCACUUCUCCCCUCAUUACAUUGCGCAAAUUGUAUAAAUUCCUCUACACCUCUCUCAUACUCAGCACUAAUACGUGGUAAAUUAAUCCAAUUUCGAUCCAUUUUUACAAAAUUAAAAUUAUACAAUUUUCUAUAUAAAAUUAUAAAUUUAAUCAUACAAUCAAUUCAUUCAUACAAUCAUACAAUUAAUAAUCAUUCAAAUUAUCAAUUCAAACAUUCAAUCACACAUAAUUACAUAAAUAAAAACUUAAAUAAAAAAUGUUCAUAGCAUAUUAUUAAAAAAAAAAUUGCUGAUAAAAAAAAUAAAAACUUAAAUAAAAGCUAACAUACUUUGGCUCUUAAAGAACGACCAAAACCACAACAAAUUCGACAAAAAUGAUCAAAGCCACAACAACAUAUGCAUCAAGAAACGAAAGCAAACAUAAAGGCUUAAUGGAAAACUUGACGAGGGCAUAAAGGAAGUACCUG
rnacentral:lncRNA from 1 species